rnacentral:rRNA from 1 species
CAUGGGUAGUCCGCACGAGCGCACCCUCAUUUUUAGUUGCCUUAUGGAACUCUAGAAAGACUGCCGGUUAUAAACCGGAGGAAGGCGGGGAUGACGUCAAGUCAGCAUGCCCCUUACACCCUGGGCUACACACGUGCUACAAUGGGUGAGACAAUGAGAUGCAACUCUGUGAAGAUAAGCUAAUCUAUAAACUCAUUCUAAGUUCGGAUUGUAGGCUGCAACUCGCCUACAUGAAGUUGGAAUCGCUAGUAAUCGCUGGUCAGCUACACAGCGGUGAAUUCGUUCCCGGGCCUU